rnacentral:piRNA from 1 species
UUACCCACACAGGAUGGAACUGCUACACA